AUUGAACGCUGGCGGCAUGCCUUACACAUGCAAGUCGAACGGUAACAGGUCUUCGGGUGCUGACGAGUGGCGAACGGGUGAGUAAUACAUCGGAACGUGCCCAGUAGUGGGGGAUAACUACUCGAAAGAGUGGCUAAUACCGCAUGAGAUCUACGGAUGAAAGCAGGGGAUCGCAAGACCUUGUGCUACUAGAGCGGCCGAUGGCAGAUUAGGUAGUUGGUGGGAUAAAAGCUUACCAAGCCGACGAUCUGUAGCUGGUCUGAGAGGACGAUCAGCCACACUGGGACUGAGAAACGGCCCAGACUCCUACGGGAGGCAGCAGUGGGGAAUUUUGGACAAUGGGCGAAAGCCUGAUCCAGCAAUGCCGCGUGCAGGAUGAAGGCCUUCGGGUUGUAAACUGCUUUUGUACGGAACGAAAAGCCCCGGGUUAAUACCCUGGGGUCAUGACGGUACCGUAAGAAUAAGCACCGGCUAACUACGUGCCAGCCGCCGCCGUAA
rnacentral:rRNA from 1 species